GGCCCCGCAGGCAGGACUCUGGGACAGACGCAGGCCAGGUGAGCGUCUGAACAAGGGGCAGUCGGCCAGGGUGGGCUUGCGGGAGUCCCCACCUUCACCUCUCUCCCUUCCAGCUGCCCAGAGCCCAGACCAAGCAUGGAUGCUGUGGAUGCCACCAUGGAGAAACUCCGGGCACAGUGCCUGUCCCGCGGGGCCUCGGGCAUCCAGGGCCUGGCCAGGUGAGCUGUCCCCUCCCAGCUUCCUGACGCCAGCCCCUGAGACCACUGUUCCAAUUGUGUCCCCUGCCUCCAGGUUUUUCCGCCAACUAGACCGGGACAGGAGCAGAUCCCUGGACGCUGAUGAGUUCCGGCAGGGUCUGGCCAAACUCGGGCUGGUGCUGGACCAGGCGGAGGCAGAGGGUGUGUGCAGGAAGUGGGACCGCGACGGCAGCGGGACACUGGAUCUGGAGGAGUUCCUUCGGGCGCUGCGGGUGAGCCCCCACCUCACAAUCAAGGCGUGUGCCCUGGGCAUGAGGUGACAGAGGAUGCUGAGAUGCGGAGACAGGGGACUCCUCCUCAAGAGCUGCUGUUAAGAGGCGCCUGCUGGGGCAUACAGCCCCGGUGCUCUGCACAGCGUCUUGGGGGUUUGGGUGUGCUACCCACCACCCCCAGUCACCACCUCCUGUCCCAGCCCCCCAUGUCCCAGGCCCGGGAGGCAGUCAUCGCAGCUGCAUUUGCCAAGCUGGACCGCAGUGGGGACGGUGUCGUGACGGUGGACGACCUCCGCGGGGUGUACAGUGGCCGUGCCCACCCCAAGGUGCGCAGUGGGGAGUGGACCGAGGACGAGGUGCUGCGCCGCUUCCUGGACAACUUCGACUCCUC
rnacentral:sRNA from 1 species